GAGAUGGGUAGAGGUGGGGAGAUGGGCACCCCCUCGAUCCCUUAUUUGUCCAGGGGCACGCAGACUCCCCCCAUUCCUUCUUUUCCUCGAUGCUGGCGCUCGCGGGGACCCGCGCCCACUUCUGUCCGGCAGCCGUCACCCCGGAGCAAGGUGACAUGCCAGUUCCCGGCAGUCCUUGAAGCCAGGGGUAGCCAGCAGGAAGUGUGAGCUGAAAACACCACCGGAAGUCGAGUAAGCGGAGUUCUCCCUGGCCUCCUCCUUUUCCUGAGCUGGACCAGAUGCUCCUGAGACUGAAGGCCGAUCAUGCACCAGAAAGGAAAUCCCGAGAGGGCAAGGCAACAGAAUGACAGAGCCAUCUGCCAAUGGGACCCUUCUAGACCGUUUUGUGAGAAAUAAACUUUUCUCUAUG